UAAAAGUUUUAUUUUGGCUUAAAAGUUCAUUAAAUUUUUUUUUUACAUGUAAGCUUUUGCAUGAAAAUUGCAGUAUAAUUUUUAUAAUUUUAUUGUAAAAUUUAUUCGCAGUAUGUUAAAUUAUAAAUUUAAGAAAUUAAGAUUUAGAAAUAAAUUUUAAAGUUGACUAAUUUUGUGCCAGCAGUUGCGGUUAUACAAAAAACUUUAUUGAAUUUUAUUAGUAGAUAGUUAAUUGGUUUAUUUAAAAUAUAAUUUUAAUUUUUUUGGGUGAAAUUUGUUAAAAUUAAAAUUAAUUUUUUUUUAAAAUUUAUGAAGCUAUGAAAUUUUUAUAUAAACUAGGAUUAGAUACCCUAUUAUUUAAAAUGUAAAAAAUAAAUACUUAGGUAGUAAUAGUUAUGUUCUUGAAACUUAAAAAAUUUGGCGGUAUUUUAGUCUAUUCAGAGGAACCUGUUCUAUGAUCGAUAGUCCACGAUUUAAUUUACUUUAUUUAAUUAGCUUAUAUACCGUCGUUAUAAGAAAAUUUUUUAAGAAUUUAAAAUUUUCUAGAAUUUUUUAAAAAUUUAUAUUAGAUCAAGGUGUAGUUUAUAAUAAAGAAGAAAUGGGUUACAAUAAAAUUAUUUAAAUGAAUAAUUAUUUUUAAAAUAGUUUGAAGGUGGAUUUGUUAGUAAUUUAAUUUAAUUAAAUUUUUUGACUUUAGCUCUAAAAUAUGUACAUAUCGCCCGUCAUUUUCAUUAUAAAAUGAAACAAGUCGUAACAAAGUAGAUGUACCGGAAGGUGUAUCUAGAAAGC
rnacentral:ncRNA from 1 species